GUUGUUUUUUUGAACAAAGUUCCUCUAGAAACCAUUUCCUGAGAAAGUGUAUAGUAAUGCAACACAAAACAGUUAAGUCAUUCACUAUUAGGGGACAGUUCAUUUAUUUUGGCAUUAGGGGGCAGUUUAAAUCAAUAUUGCCCACCCACUAUUAUUUUAAUUGUAAGACGGUUUGCAAACAUGGUCAUUUGUUGCCGAUACUAAAUUACAGUUUGUUGAUGAUACAUAAAAAUGAAUGGUUCCUGGCCGGGUAGCUCUUGGUUGGAGCGUCAUCCUGAUAUGCCAAGGUUAUGGGCUGGAUUCCCGGUCAGGGCACAUACAAGAAUCAACCAAUGAAUGCAUCGAUAGGUGGAACAACAAAUCGAUGUUUCUCUCUCUC